rnacentral:rRNA from 1 species
UACGAAGGGGGCUAGCGUUGCUCGGAAUGACUGGGCGUAAAGGGCGCGUAGGCGGUUCGUACAGUCAGACGUGAAAUUCCCGGGCUCAACCUGGGGGCUGCGUUUGAUACGUGCGGGCUUGAGUUCGGAAGAGGGUCGUGGAAUUCCCAGUGUAGAGGUGAAAUUCGUAGAUAUUGGGAAGAACACCGGUGGCGAAGGCGGCGACCUGGGUGGAUACUGACGCUGAGGUGCGAAAGCGUGGGGAGCAAACAGG